UACAGAGGGUGCGAGCGUUGUUCGGAAUUACUGGGCGUAAAGCGCGCGUAGGCGGAUCUGCAAGUCGGGGGUGAAAUCCCGAGGCUCAACCUCGGAACUGCCUUCGAUACUGCGGGUCUCGAGUCCGGGAGAGGUGAGUGGAAUUCCUAGUGUAGAGGUGAAAUUCGUAGAUAUUAGGAAGAACACCAGUGGCGAAGGCGGCUCACUGGCCCGGUACUGACGCUGAGGCGCGAAAGCGUGGGGAGCAAACAGG
rnacentral:rRNA from 1 species